AACAAUCGAACAAGAACUUUCUUACACGCACCCCACUAUUAGCCCCCACAACACCGCACAACCCAGUCAGAACCACACGAUUAGUCCCACAAAUUUCAAUCUAACUGCCAUCAUUUAUCUAAUAGCGGGAUGGUGUGUACUUAGCAAUUUCUAAUGACUGACCGUACUCCACCACCAGAGGAGUAUUCCAACAACCAAUCCCAUGUUUCCCUGCAAUCACGCAAUCAGAUCGCAAACUAAGGAAACACAACCAAAUCUGCUCCCUCCCGUGUUUCCCUACAAUCACGCAAUCAAAUCGCAAACUAAGAAAACUCAAUCAAAUCUGCUCCCUCGCCCUUGACCUCGACGUUUGUCUGCCUUGAGUCACCACCGCACCAGAUGCCGCCCACCAACACCGUCGCCUCCCUGCACGAUCGCCAUCGCCGAUUGUCGCCGAUUGUUGCCGCUCGCAGCGUGGAAUCCGUCAUCAACGUAGCGGGCGCCCAGGAACCUACCCUCGCAGCAUGGCAUCCAUCCGCGAGAUCGCCUGCCUCGACACCCGCAUGGCUACGGCCGCCCUGCACAUCCCCUGAACCAGCCGGACACACGCAUCUGUAAUUUCCUCCAUGCACUUCUUCAGGUUUGACUUCUUCCUUUGACCUGUUGCAGCAUUACUCGGGAUUAUAAUUUUGAGAAUAGAGUUCUAAAAAAUAUAAACAGUUGGACAACAGAAUGCUAUAAGCCUUUCGUUUUACAUCUCUAAUUAAUGGUUUUCUAUGUGGAAAUGGUUCAUGUUUGACUGUAAGAAGAACUAAGAGCUAUACAUAUGUAGAGUUCAUUUUGCACAAUCAGACCGCCCUAUCUCUUUUACUGUGACAAAUCAACUAUGCCGCUACAGAUCAGUAAAGGAAAUCAGCUAAACUUGCAUGCAUACCUCUCAGCUCCAUCAGAUCAGGCCAAAAGCUCUCCUGUGAGGAGUCACCGAGGAGCCUACUAGAACUUGUAGAGUUCACCCUUGUUGAGUACAGAGACCAUGGUGAGGAUGGAGAUUGGUGAACGAGCGAUAAGGCACUAGCAGAGAGACCAGUAGAAAUAGCAUGGCAGUAUCACAUCAUCAUGUUUUGCAGCAUCUUCCGAUUCUUCAGGACACUCAUCCUACUAGAAACAGAUAGUUAUCAAUAUACAGAAGAGAGACACCCCCAAACUGAAAGAUUAAACAACAGUGAGAAUGAACCAGACCGUAACAAAAUCCAAUAUCCGUUGAAACAGAACUUUUUAAUCAAAUAUUUGUAACAUAGGCAGAUCAUGUGUAGUAAAGAUUUUUUUAAUCAAAUAUCUGUAACAUGGCCACAUGAAGGAGAAAUUGGAAAUUUGGAAGUAAAUAUUUCUAUUAGUACCUAAGAUGAUCCGUUUUGUCAAAUUCACAUCCAGAAGCGUUUGAAUCUUGGCUCAUAUGACACAUUCUUGACAACAUGCACAAAAGGAACUGAUGAACCACAAAUAUUUUAUAACUGAAUAUCUGCAAACUGCAUGAUCCAAACCUCCUAUUACAAACCCAAUCGGUUGAGAUUCCAUGGAAAGAAUAUUUGAAGUAGAUAUAGAUGGAAAGAAGAUAUGAUCAAAGAAAAAUAAACCAUAAAGGGUAAUAACCUUCACACCAGCAGCACUGCAUAACCAUACAGCGUCCAUCACUCAUGGGCGACAAGGAUCUACAACAAAUAAAGGACUCCUUACUGAAGGGUGAAAAGCUACAUGCAGCCAUCAGAAGAUAACUAUACGGCAAAACUGAACUGAAAAUGUGCCUAACCAGAUUCAGCCAUAAAGAGUUCUAAACAUAAAAAAGUUGCUUAAUAAAGAUAUAAUACAUGAUGAACAAGUGAUGCAAAUAAAGAUGACAAACUAGCAUGGCUAAGUAUUAUUAUGAGUAGACACCUCCUAAUUUAUUUAUUUUGUUCAAUUUCACCAUCUCUCAAUCCUCCGUAGUGUCUUGUUUAUGCAAAACUAGCAAGAUGGAAAUGGACUAUUCUGUCCAUGUUUUCUUUUCAUUCAUGGCGGGGACUUCUAAAAUUAGCCAAAAACAUGGACAGAAAAUGCAGAGGCACGGGCUGACUUGGACGGCCUCGCACCAGAUACAGAUUGAAUUUAUUUUCGCAUGAUCCU
rnacentral:lncRNA from 1 species